GAUGAACGCUGGCGGCGUGCCUAACACAUGCAAGUCGAGCGAACCCUUCGGGGUGGGCGGCGGACGGGUGAGUAACGCGUGGGUAACCUGCCCUAUACACACGGAUAACGUACCGAAAGGUACGCUAAUACGGGAUAAAGUUGUUGGAUGGCAUCUUCUAACAAUCAAAGCUCUGGCGGUAUAGGAUGGACCCGCGUCUGAUUAGCUCGUUGGUGAGGUAAUGGCUCACCAAGGCGACGAUCAGUAGCCGACCUGAGAGGGUGAUCGGCCACACUGGAACUGAGACACGGGCCAGACUCCUACGGGAGGCAGCAGUGGGGAAUAGUGCACAAUGGGCGAAAGCCUGAUGCAGCAACGCCGCGUGAGCGAUGAAGGUCUUCGGAUCGUAAAGCUCUGUCCUCAAGGAAGAUAAGGACGGUACUUGAGGAGGAAGCCCCGGCUAACUACGUGCCAGCCGCCGCCGUAA
rnacentral:rRNA from 1 species